CACCAGGUUGAUUCUGCCUGACGUAUGCGCUUGUCUUGAAGAUUUAGCCAUGCAAGCUCGCGAAGCAUUUAUUGUGGAGCGGCAGACAGCUCAGUAAUACAGUUAUGAUUUACCCGUAGAAGCAGGAUAACCUUGGUAAGCUAAGGCUAAGACUGCAUAGCAAUGUGAGUUGUCACAUUGUGAUACGGCUAAGUUUCUGGCCUAUUAGCUAGUUACUAGGGUAACGGCCUACUAAGGCGAUGAUGGGUAACGGGAAAUCAGGGUUUGAUUCCGGAGAGGGAGCCUGAGAUAUAGCUCCCACGUCCAAGGACGGCAGCAGGCGCGAAACUUACCCAAUAUACAGAUAUGAGGUAGUGAAGAGACAUGCUUUCAGAGAGAGGGAUGGGUAAAAUACAUUCCGAACGACUGGAGGGCAAGUCUGGUGCCAGCAGCCGCGG
rnacentral:rRNA from 1 species